UUAAGCGACUAAGCGUACACGGUGGAUGCCCUGGCAGUCAGAGGCGAUGAAGGACGUGCUAAUCUGCGAUAAGCGUCGGUAAGGUGAUAUGAACCGUUAUAACCGGCGAUUUCCGAAUGGGGAAACCCAGUGUGAUUCGUCACACUAUCAUUAACUGAAUCCAUAGGUUAAUGAGGCGAACCGGGGGAACUGAAACAUCUAAGUACCCCGAGGAAAAGAAAUCAACCGAGAUUCCCCCAGUAGCGGCGAGCGAACGGGGAGCAGCCCAGAGCCUGAAUCAGUGUGUGUGUUAGUGGAAGCGUCUGGAAAGGCGCGCGAUACAGGGUGACAGCCCCGUACACAAAAAUGCACAUACUGUGAGCUCGAUGAGUAGGGCGGGACACGUGGUAUCCUGUCUGAAUAUGGGGGGACCAUCCUCCAAGGCUAAAUACUCCUGACUGACCGAUAGUGAACCAGUACCGUGAGGGAAAGGCGAAAAGAACCCCGGCGAGGGGAGUGAAAAAGAACCUGAAACCGUGUACGUACAAGCAGUGGGAGCACAGAGCAAUCUGUGUGACUGCGUACCUUUUGUAUAAUGGGUCAGCGACUUAUAUUCUGUAGCAAGGUUAACCGAAUAGGGGAGCCGAAGGGAAACCGAGUCUUAACUGGGCGUUAAGUUGCAGGGUAUAGACCCGAAACCCGGUGAUCUAGCCAUGGGCAGGUUGAAGGUUGGGUAACACUAACUGGAGGACCGAACCGACUAAUGUUGAAAAAUUAGCGGAUGACUUGUGGCUGGGGGUGAAAGGCCAAUCAAACCGGGAGAUAGCUGGUUCUCCCCGAAAGCUAUUUAGGUAGCGCCUCGUGAAUUCAUCUCCGGGGGUAGAGCACUGUUUCGGCAAGGGGGUCAUCCCGACUUACCAACCCGAUGCAAACUGCGAAUACCGGAGAAUGUUAUCACGGGAGACACACGGCGGGUGCUAACGUCCGUCGUGAAGAGGGAAACAACCCAGACCGCCAGCUAAGGUCCCAAAGUCAUGGUUAAGUGGGAAACGAUGUGGGAAGGCCCAGACAGCCAGGAUGUUGGCUUAGAAGCAGCCAUCAUUUAAAGAAAGCGUAAUAGCUCACUGGUCGAGUCGGCCUGCGCGGAAGAUGUAACGGGGCUAAACCAUGCACCGAAGCUGCGGCAGCGACGCUUAUGCGUUGUUGGGUAGGGGAGCGUUCUGUAAGCCUGCGAAGGUGUGCUGUGAGGCAUGCUGGAGGUAUCAGAAGUGCGAAUGCUGACAUAAGUAACGAUAAAGCGGGUGAAAAGCCCGCUCGCCGGAAGACCAAGGGUUCCUGUCCAACGUUAAUCGGGGCAGGGUGAGUCGACCCCUAAGGCGAGGCCGAAAGGCGUAGUCGAUGGGAAACAGGUUAAUAUUCCUGUACUUGGUGUUACUGCGAAGGGGGGACGGAGAAGGCUAUGUUGGCCGGGCGACGGUUGUCCCGGUUUAAGCGUGUAGGCUGGUUUUCCAGGCAAAUCCGGAAAAUCAAGGCUGAGGCGUGAUGACGAGGCACUACGGUGCUGAAGCAACAAAUGCCCUGCUUCCAGGAAAAGCCUCUAAGCAUCAGGUAACAUCAAAUCGUACCCCAAACCGACACAGGUGGUCAGGUAGAGAAUACCAAGGCGCUUGAGAGAACUCGGGUGAAGGAACUAGGCAAAAUGGUGCCGUAACUUCGGGAGAAGGCACGCUGAUAUGUAGGUGAAGUCCCUCGCGGAUGGAGCUGAAAUCAGUCGAAGAUACCAGCUGGCUGCAACUGUUUAUUAAAAACACAGCACUGUGCAAACACGAAAGUGGACGUAUACGGUGUGACGCCUGCCCGGUGCCGGAAGGUUAAUUGAUGGGGUCAGCGCAAGCGAAGCUCUUGAUCGAAGCCCCGGUAAACGGCGGCCGUAACUAUAACGGUCCUAAGGUAGCGAAAUUCCUUGUCGGGUAAGUUCCGACCUGCACGAAUGGCGUAAUGAUGGCCAGGCUGUCUCCACCCGAGACUCAGUGAAAUUGAACUCGCUGUGAAGAUGCAGUGUACCCGCGGCAAGACGGAAAGACCCCGUGAACCUUUACUAUAGCUUGACACUGAACAUUGAGCCUU
rnacentral:rRNA from 1 species